rnacentral:rRNA from 1 species
GACGAACGCUGGCGGCGUGCUUAACACAUGCAAGUCGAACGAAGUGGCGAACGGGUGAGUAACGCGGAAUCAACCUGCCCUUCAGAGGGGGACAACAGUUGGACACGACUGCUAAUACCGCAUACUGAAGGAGGGGAGGGCGGCGGGAUAGCUAGUUGGAGGGGUAACGGCCCAACAAGGCGAGGAUCAGUAGCCGGGCUGGGAGGAUGAACGGCCACAUUGUGACUGGGACACGGCCCAGACCCCUACGGGAGGCAGCAGUGUGGAAUCUUCCGCAAUGGACGAAAGUCUGACGGAGCAACGCCGCGUGAGUGAUGACGGCCUUCGGGUUGUAAAGCUCUGUUAAUCGGGACGCGGUACCGGAAUAGAAAGCCACGGCUAACUACGUGCCAGCAGCCGCGGUAAUAC